rnacentral:rRNA from 1 species
UACGAAGGGGGCGAGCGUUGUUCGGAUUUACUGGGCGUAAAGGGCGCGCAGGCGGCCAUAUUUGUCAGGCGUGAAAGCCCCGGGCUUAACCUGGGAAUUGCAUUUGAGACUGCGUAGCUAGGGUGCGGAAGAGGGAAGCGGAAUUUCCGGUGUAGCGGUGAAAUGCGUAGAUAUCGGAAGGAACACCAGUGGCGAAAGCGGCUUCCUGGUCCAGCACCGACGUUCAGGCACGAAAGCGUGGGGAGCAAACAGG